rnacentral:rRNA from 1 species
GAUGAACGCUGGCGGCGUGCCUAAUACAUGCAAGUCGAGCGAACGGACGAGAAGCUUGCUUCUCUGAUGUUAGCGGCGGACGGGUGAGUAACACGUGGAUAACCUACCUAUAAGACUGGGAUAACUUCGGGAAACCGUAGCUAAUACCGGAUAAUAUUUUGAACCGCAUGGUUCAAAAGUGAAAGACGGUCUUGCUGUCACUUAUAGAUGGAUCCGCGCUGCAUUAGCUAGUUGGUAAGGUAGCGGCUUACCAAGGCAACGAUGCAUAGCCGACCUGAGAGGGUGAUCGGCCACACUGGAACUGAGACACGGUCCAGACUCCUACGGGAGGCAGCAGUAGGGAAUCUUCCGCAAUGGGCGAAAGCCUGACGGAGCAACGCCGCGUGAGUGAUGAAGGUCUUCGGAUCGUAAAACUCUGUUAUUAGGGAAGAACAUAUGUGUAAGUAACUGUGCACAUCUUGACGGUACCUAAUCAGAAAGCCGCGGCUAACUACGUG